rnacentral:rRNA from 1 species
UACGGGGGGGGUAAGCGUUGUUCGGAAUUACUGGGCGUAGAGGGCUCGUAGGCGGCCAACUAAGUCAGACGUGAAAUCCCUCAGCUUAACUGGGGAACUGCGUCUGAUACUGGAUGGCUUGGAUUCGGGAGAGGAAUGCGGAAUUCCAGGUGUAGCGGUGAAAUGCGUAGAUAUCUGGAGGAACACCGGUGGCGAAGGCGGCAUUCUGGACCGACAUUGACGCUGAGGAGCGAAAGCCAGGGGAGCAAACGGG